AUGCGUCACCACUCUCCAUCUCAAAACUCCUCCACUGUCUCAUCUCUUCUUUGCCAAAAACACCAUCGUCAACAUCUCCGUCUUAGAUCCUCUUUUGAUGAAAACAUAGAAGGAAAUAUUGAUGAAGCCUUACCGACCGAGUUCGUUCGACGCAUCUUUGAUGGCGUUAUAACAACGAAAAAUACAGAGGUAAAAGCUCAGGGAAACCAUCAGUUGAAAGAGGCAUGA